rnacentral:lncRNA from 1 species
GCAGUAGAAAUCGCAGCGCAAGUGUAAACGGGCCUUAACGGAGGAUAUAAAUUACAUAAUCUGAACUGAAACAUACAGAACAGCAGGGGCGGGUUGUAUGAAGGUCGGAUAGCGCUAUCCACUGGAUAGUGAUUUUUUCAACCUUUGUAAAAUGCUUGAAAAACUGUGAAACUACGGCUAUAGACGACACAAGAAGUAUAAAAAAACAUUUAACUUGUAAAUACUAAACUUUAAUACGAGUUAUACCAAUCAACGACUGAUUUAACAAAGCUUGAAAAAAUCACUAUCCGGUGUAUAGCGCUAUCCGGCCUUCGUACAACCGGC